rnacentral:rRNA from 1 species
UCUUCUUUAUGAAGUUUAGCGGCGGACGGGUGAGUAACACGUGGGUAACCUGCCCAUAAGACUGGGAUAACUCCGGGAAACCGGGGCUAAUACCGGAUAACAUUUUGAACCGCAUGGUUCGAAAUUGAAAGGCGGCUUCGGCUGUCACUUAUGGAUGGACCCGCGUCGCAUUAGCUAGUUGGUGAGGUAACGGCUCACCAAGGCAACGAUGCGUAGCCGACCUGAGAGGGUGAUCGGCCACACUGGGACUGAGACACGGCCCAGACUCCUACGGGAGGCAGCAGUAGGGAAUCUUCCGCAAUGGACGAAAGUCUGACGGAGCAACGCCGCGUGAGUGAUGAAGGCUUUCGGGUCGUAAAACUCUGUUGUUAGGGAAGAACAAGUGCUAGUUGAAUAAGCUGGCACCUUGACGGUACCUAACCAGAAAGCCACGGCUAACUACGUGCCAGCAGCCGCGGUAAUACGUAGGUGGCAAGCGUUAUCCGGAAUUAUUGGGCGUAAAGCGCGCGCAGGUGGUUUCUUAAGUCUGAUGUGAAAGCCCACGGCUCAACCGUGGAGGGUCAUUGGAAACUGGGAGACUUGAGUGCAGAAGAGGAAAGUGGAAUUCCAUGUGUAGCGGUGAAAUGCGUAGAGAUAUGGAGGAACACCAGUGGCGAAGGCGACUUUCUGGUCUGUAACUGACACUGAGGCGCGAAAGCGUGGGGAGCAAACAAGAUUAGA